AGGAUUUAAAAGGUUGUGUUGAUCAGGAGUUUCCAAUUGGAAGUGAAUUAACAAAACUAGAACAACAAGGUGAAGCACAUGCAGCUUUUGCAUCACAGAGAUGUCGAGUUUACAUUGGAAAUCAGAAUUAUUUUACAGAAAUCAACAAACACAGAAGUCAGAAUAUCUCACAACCAUUCAUUAUACUUGGAGAAUCAGGUAACUUGUGUAUUUCUAAAAAAUACAAAUAAUUCGUAUUUAAUAUAAAUAUAAAAUUAUGUGAUUGUUGUAUGAGUAUAAUAGUAGUCAGGACAAUAUGUAGGCUGCUAUCAGGCCGCGAACAAGUUAAUAGUAAAUCCAGAAAAGCGUUUCGGACGCAAGAAAUUAUUUAACGUGUUAUUUUCAAUUUUUAAUAAGAUAAUAAUAUGAACUCUGCGUUGCCUGGUUUGUAAUGUGCUAAUACAUUAGUGUUAAAAACAACGUAUUACCCGAUUGGCAAGAGGCGGGUCAAGCACACUACCUAGAGACAACCGAUUCAUUAUAUGGAACUGAGGACAGGGGACCCUUUAAUAUUUACCUGAAUUUGUAUAUAUAUAUUGAGUUACUUAGUUAUUGUCUUUAUUUGUUUUUGUUGUUGUUAUAUGUCACAAACUGUAAAGUUUAUAUGGCAAUAAAACUUUGAAUUGAAUUGAAUUGAAUAUAAAGAUGUGAUUAUUUGAAUAUAAGUGAAGUUUAAUUUGUGAAACCAUUAUAUUUUGUGUUGAUACUUUUUCUCUGGUCAUCAAUACAUUAAACGAAAUAGAAAUAUUAUGCAACGACUUUCAAAUUGCGGGCAACAGCAAAUAUAACAACAAGCAUAAUACUGGCAAAACGUAUUUAUAAGAAAAGACGCUUAUACUGUCGUAUGCAUUAUUUCAAAAUCAUAGCACCUUGUCUAGACUGUUGGAUGCUAUAUGUAAAAAUAAGAAGAUGUGGUAUGAUGAGACAACUCUUCACAAGAUACCAAAGGACAUAGAAAUAAACAAAUAAAAACUAAUAUAUGUUGCUACUUUUUGGUAAUAUUUUGAUAGGUUGUGGUAAGUCAGCGCUUGUUGCUAACUGGGCGAAACAGAUUGAGGAUUCUGAGAAAGACACAUUUAUUUUUCUUCACUUUAUUGGAAGUUCAGCUGAUAGUGCCCACUAUAUAAAAAUGAUCAGAAG
rnacentral:lncRNA from 1 species